GCUUGGGCCUUGUACACACCGCCCGUCACACCAUGGGAGUUGGUUUUACCCGAAGACGGUGCGCUAACCGCAAGGAGGCAGCCGGCCACGGUAAGGUCAGCGACUGGGGUGAAGUCGUAACAAGGUAGCCGUAGGGGAACCUGCGGCUGGAUCACCU
rnacentral:rRNA from 1 species